rnacentral:lncRNA from 1 species
GAAAUUUCUAUGCUUUGAUUUUAAUAAUUGAUUAGAGACAUAAAUUGGUCUGCAAAGUAAUCUAUAUUUAUAAAAUUUUAAAUACUUUUCAUCAUUUUCCAAUAGAUAUGAAUUUCAAUGCUUUUAUUUUAAUACAUAUUGCAAGAGUCGGCUGUGUGAAAUGUCAUUAACAGACGAGUUCUAUAGUGUGCAAUGCUUCAGAAAGUUUAUUGAACUGAUCUCUAAUGUAGGUCAUUGACAGUAUCUGCUGAAAGGGGAGCCAAAUUGGAUUAUUUUGUCAAUCUUAUAAUGCAUUUUGUCAGUUUAAAUCAAGUGUACAGAGCUAUAGCAGCUUUUUAAGCAUGUAUCAAUACUAAAUACCUGCAUAGACAUUUUGAGAUUGGUUAGCAUAUAUUUAGGUCAUAAACUGCCAACGACCUAAAUCAUUCAUUCUGGCAAAAUCUAUAUAAAGUCAAUUUUGCCCAGUCUCCUGUACAAGGGUUUACUGUAGAAGCUAUUGAUUAUUGUGGAUAAGUUAAAAGAAUCGUAUUUGAAGUGGGACUUAGGAAACGGCUGAAUUACUAGCUAUUAGCAUGAUUUUAAUCUUAGCGAUAUGAAUCAGAUUGAUUAAUAGAAUAAAAUUUAUAUCACGAAAAGGUGUAAAUUGGGAUAUUCUGAAGGGUAAAACAUUAUCAAUAAAAAUUGAUUGUAAAUGCAAUUAAAUAAUUUUAUUGCUGAAAACAUUUAAACAGCAAGUUUGUAAGAAUAAAAUGCAAUGCUGUAAGAAACAACAUUUUGGCACCUGAAUUAUUUGUAAAUUGAUUAUUUUUAAGUUCACAGAAAAAAAUGGAGAUCAAUAAAUGAAAUAUAUAUUACAGAAGAAUUUGUCAAAAUUUUGCUGUUUUUUUAUUAUUGUUAAAAAUUACACUUGAAAUGACUGUCUGAUGAUUUUCUUUCCUUUUAGUUGAAAUAGCAUUUUGAAGUCUAUUUAAGGUGUUGGUUAACAGUUAUGUGAAACAUUAAGGAGACUUAAUUUGCUGUGAUGUAAAGUAAGAAUUUACCACCUGUUUUAAUUCACAAGUUUUUCAGACAUGUGAGUGACCCUGUAGUUGAUAAUAGUCAAUAAACACAUAGUCAAAUAACUUUUAUUGUUGCAAUGAUUCUGAUUUUUCGCUUGCAGUCUUCAUAACUAAAACUUUAGAUUUUCCUCUUCAUGAUAGCUGUAGAUCAUCAGAGGUGUUCAAGGGUGUGUUUGAAACAAAUUUUUUUCCUUGACAAAAAACAAAUUGAAGGUAUUAACCAAGUUGUCAAACAAAAUUUUUUUUUUCUUAAUUUAAAUGGAUGAAGUGACAAACGAUGAAUAUCACCUGUUUUUCAAGAUGUCAUUUUUUGUGUAUUAUGAUGAAUUAUAACUGCACUUUUGCAAAUAAAUUGUAUUCCAAAACUUCACUCUGUACAUAAUGAAAAAUGAUACUCAAAAACAGACUAGAAGUACAUGUGCACCGAUUCCUUUUGUUACAGAGAAAUCUGAUAAUGAUGUUAGGCUAUGUGAACACUGCGGCAUUUUCAAGCAGGGACUUUUAUAGAUGUACUUUAUGUUCAUUUAUUUUCUGAAAAUGGCAGUUUGAAAAACUUAAUGGGCAUUGUUAUUUGUGUGAUUUUGUACUCUUAAUUUAUUUUUGUAACAUGAGAAAGACUUUAAAGCAGGGCUUAGUCUCUAAUUUAAAAAAAAAUGUCUUUCUUAUUAACUAUUAAAAUUAAAUUUUCUACCGUAUGAACUUAAUGUAAGAGUACUUGAACAUGUAUUCACUUAUAACUUAACCUGUUGAUUAGGAAGUAUUAUUACGAUUGGAAAAAAAAUCUAUUUUGUUACUCAGUCAGCUCUGCUAUUUUGGUCAUUAUCUGGGAAGAUUGUACAUAUAAAGUAAUUACAUUGCACCAUUUUUCAAAGUUCAUGUCUCAAUUAAUGGAUGCCAAAAGCUAGUUAAAUUACUGUUGUGAGAUUCACAUUAGAAGUUGAAGUCUGUAAUAUAAUCGAUCGUAAGCCAACUUUUACAGCAUUAUAUUCUGUUGAAAGAUCAUUUGUCUGAUGGAAGUGAAAUAAAUUUUCAAAGACACUUAUUAUUAGUUGGAAUUUCUCUCUUUAAUACAACGGUUGGAAUUGAAAUGUGUAAAUUUUGUUAAGAAGUCGGUUAAUAUUCUUAAAGUUCUGCACUAACAUGACUAAGUUUUUAAUUAGAAUUUACCAAGAGCGUAUUUAUCAAAUAUUUCAUUCUAGUUAAUUCUAGUUUUAACAGUAUUCUGAGAAAAGUACUUAAUUAAAUACCAG